UUUUUUUCUGUAAGAGCUUUUGAGUUGAUUCUUUUUUAUGCUGAUUGCUACGCAAAAUAUUCAGACUGACUUAAUUUUGCAGAAUUUGUGAAGUACCAUAGGUAUACGAAAUAUACAGAUUGCUACAAACUGGUCUGCUGUUAACAGAUUCUGUUUUUAUUGUGUUGGUUGCUUAUUUUGAUGAAACUAUGGAUAGUAUCGGGGGGUAUUAGCCAUGGAAGAUUGAAAAUACAGUAACCCAACACCAGCAUAAGUAGAAUUUAAGUUUUCUACAGUACCUAAGGAAGUGGUGGUUUGCUUUCUCAUACUAAUGUUAUCAUGAGUUUCUGUUUAAUUUACGUGUUGUGAAGUUUUCAAGUUUUGGGUGAAGUUCUUAUGGACAAAGAGAUAAAGAGUGGCAAGAGCUCAAGCUUGGGGAUUCCCAAGGCACCCCAAGAGAUUCAAGGAUGUCGUAAAAUCCUACGCUUGGGGAUGCCCCGGGAAGGCAUCCCCUCUCUCGUCUUCAAUUCAUCGGUAACGUUACUUGGGGCUAUAUUUUUAUUCACCACAUGUUAUGUGUUUUUGCUUGGAGCGUAUUGUAUCGUAGGAGUCUUUUAUUUUUGUUGUAUCACAAUCAUCCUUGCUGCACACCUAGAGAGAGAGACAUGCACACGCUGUGAUUUUGUCGAGCUUCACUUAUAUCUUUUGGUAGACAAUUCAGCUCACAUGUGCUUCACUUAUAUCUUUUGAGCUAGACACUUUUGCUCUAUGUGCUUCACUUAUAUCUUUUAGAGCGCAGCGGUGUGUGGCUUGGUAGUUGAUCUAUGAUUUGAAAGUAGUCUCAAAAGGGGUAGUUAUCCAAAGGGAUACGAAAACUUCCACCUUCAUGUGCAUUGAAUAGUUAGAGAAGUUUGAUUCAUCUCAAUUAGUUUUGAGUUGUGGUUAUGGUAAUAUUGAAGUCAUGCUAGUAAGGUGUUGUGGAUCUAGAAAUACUUGUGUUGAAGUUAGUGAUUCCCGUAGCAUGCACGUAUGGUGAACCGCUAUGUGAUGAAAUCUGAGCAUGAUUAGUCUAUUGAUUGUCAUCCUUUGCGUGGCGGUCGGGAUCGCGCGAUGGUUUAUACCUACCAAACCUUCCCCUAAGAGUAUGCGUUGAAUGCUUUGUUUCGAUUACUAAUAAAACUUUUGCAACAAGUAUAUGAGUUCUUCAUGACAAAUGCUGAGUCCAUGGUUUAGAUGCACUUUCACCUUCCACCAUCACUAUCUUCUUAGUGUCGUGCAACUUUCGUCGGUGCACAAAACCCACCAUUAGCCUCCCUCAAAACAGCCACCAUACCUACCUACUAUGGCUUUUUCAAAGUCAUUCCGAGAUAUAUUGCCAUGCAACUACCACCCUGACAUGUGCCCCCACGUCUACUUUGCCUUUGCACGAUCGUAAGAUAGCUAGCAUGAUGUUUCCAUUGAUGUCUAUGCCAUGCUAGAUCAUUGCCACGGUACACUACCGAAGGCAUUCCAUAUAGAGUCAUCGUUACUCUAAGUUUUGAGUUGAAAGUGUGAUGAUCAUCAUUAAUGGAGCAUUGUCCCAUGUGAGGAAAUAAAAGAGGCCAAAGAAGACCACAAAAAAAGAGGCCAAAGAGCCCACCAAAUAAAAAAAUAUGAGAGAAAAAGAGAGAAGGGACAAUGCUACCACUUUUUCCACACUUGUGCAUAUUAAGCACCAUGAUCUUCAUGAUUGAGAGUCUCUCGUUUUGUCACCGCCAUAUAGCUAGUGGGAAACUUUCAUUAUAUAACUUGUCUUGUAUAUUCCAAUGAUAGGCUUCCUCAAAAUUGCCUUAGGUCUUCGUGAGCAAGCAAGUUGGAUGCACACCCACUAGUUUUCUUUAAGAGCUUUCACAUACUCGUAGCUCUAGUGCAUCAUUUGUAUGGCAAUCCCUACUCAUUCACAUUGAUAUCUAUUGAUGAGCAUCUCCACAGCUCAUUGAUAUGCCUAGUUAAUGUGACUAUCCUCUCCUUUUUUGUCUUGCAACCUCCACUACAUUCCACACCAUCUAUAGUGCUAUAACCAUGGCUCACGCUCAUGUAUUGCGUGAGAGUUGAAAAGGUUUGAGAAAGUAAAGGUGUGAAACAAUUACUUGGCCAAUACCGGGGUUGUGCAUGAUUUAAAUUCGUUGUGCAACGAUGAUAGAGCAUAGCCAGACUAUAUGCUUUUGUAGGGAUAACUUUCUUUUGGCCUUGUUAUUUUGAAAGUUCAUGAUUACUUUGCUAGUUUGCUUGAAUUAUUAUUGUUUCCACGUCAAUAGCAAACUAUUGUUUUGAAUCUAAUGGAUCUGAACAUUCACGUCACAUAAGAGGAAUUACAAAGGACACCUAUGCUAGGUAGCAUGAAAGCAUCAAAAAUUCAUUCUUAUCACUUCCCUACUCGAGGACGAGUAGGAGUUAAGCUUGGGGAUGCUUGAUACGUCUCAAACGUAUCUAUAAUUUUUUUAUGGUUUCACGCUGUUAUCUUGUCUUCUUUGGUAGUUUUAUGUACCUUUUAUAUCUUUUUUGGGACUAACUUAUUAAUUCAGUGCCAAGUGCCAGUUCCUAUUUUUUCCGUGUUUUUGACUCUUUUCAGAUUUGAUUCUGGAACGGAGUCCAAACGGAAUAAAAACCCUGAAAUGAUUUUUUCCCGAACGGAAGAAGACCAGGGGGCCUUUGGGCCAAUCCAGGGGAGGGAUCCCACAAGCUCCCACCACGCCACCAGGGGGGAGGCGGCGGUGGGCAAGCUUGUGGCCACCCUGGCCGCCCCCUGACCUAGGUCUUUGGCCUAUAAAUUCCCAAAUAUUCCGCAAAAAUCAGGGGAGCCUCGAAAAUACUUCUCCGCCGCCGCAAACUUCCGUUUCCGCGAGAUCUCAUCUCGAGACCUUUCCCGGCGCCCUGCCGGAGGGGACUUUGGAGUUGGAGGGCUUCUUCUUCAUCAUCAUCGCCCCUCCAAUGACUCGUGAGUAGUUCACUUCAGACCUCCGGGUCCGUAGUUAGUAGCUAGAUGGCUUCUUCUCUCUCUUGGAUCUUCAAUACAAAGUUCUCCAUGAUCUUCAUGGAGAUCUAUCCGAUGUAAUCUUCUUUGGCGGUGUGUUUGUCGAGAUCCGAUGAAUUGUGGACUUGUGAUCAAAUUAUCUAUGAUAUAUAUUUGAGUCUUUGCUGAUUUCUUAUAUGCAUGAUUUGAUAUCCUUGUAAGUCUCUCCGAGUCUUGGGUUUUGUUUGGCCAACUAGAUCUAUGAUUCUUGCAAUGGGAGAAGUGCUUGGUUUUGGGAUCUGCCAUGUGGUGACCUUUCCCAAUGACAGUAGGGGCAGCAAGGCACACAUCAAGUAGUUGCCAUCAAGGGUAAAAAGAUGGGGUUUUAAUCACUGGUUUGAGAUUAUCCCUCUACAUCAUGUCAUCUUGCUUAAGGCGUUACUCUGUUCUUAUGGACUUAAUACACUAGAUGCAUGUUGCAUAGCGGUCGACGUGUGGAGUAAUAGUAGUAGAUGCAGAAAGUAUCGGUCUACUUGUUUCNAUGUAAUCUUCUUUGGCGGUGUGUUUGUCGAGAUCCGAUGAAUUGUGGACUUGUGAUCAAAUUAUCUAUGAUAUAUAUUUGAGUCUUUGCUGAUUUCUUAUAUGCAUGAUUUGAUAUCCUUGUAAGUCUCUCCGAGUCUUGGGUUUUGUUUGGCCAACUAGAUCUAUGAUUCUUGCAAUGGGAGAAGUGCUUGGUUUUGGGAUCUGCCAUGUGGUGACCUUUCCCAAUGACAGUAGGGGCAGCAAGGCACACAUCAAGUAGUUGCCAUCAAGGGUAAAAAGAUGGGGUUUUAAUCACUGGUUUGAGAUUAUCCCUCUACAUCAUGUCAUCUUGCUUAAGGCGUUACUCUGUUCUUAUGGACUUAAUACACUAGAUGCAUGUUGCAUAGCGGUCGACGUGUGGAGUAAUAGUAGUAGAUGCAGAAAGUAUCGGUCUACUUGUUUGAGACGUGAUGCCUAUAGAUAUAAUCAUUGCAUAGAUAUCGUCAUGACUUUGCGUGGUUAUAUCAAUUGCUCGACAGUUAUUUGUUCACCCACCGUCUACUUGCUUUCGUGAGAGAAGCCACUAGUAAACACUACGGCCCCCGGGUCUAUUCACAUCCAUCGUUUACAUCUCCGCUUUUACUUUGCUUUGUUACUUUGUUGCUUUCAGUUCUCACUUGGCAAACAAUCUAUAAGGGAUUGACAACCCCUUCAUAGCGUUGGGUGCAAGCUUUUGUGUUUGUGCAGGAUCUUGAGAUACUCUUCCGCCGGAUUGAUACCUUGGUUCUCAAACUGAGGGAAAUACUUACCGUCGCUGUGCUACAUCACCCUUUCCGCUUCGAGGGAACACCAACGCAAGGCUCCAGGGCCACGAGGGAAAUCCUUUGCAUACUUGCCUAGGAAGUCCCUUAAGGCGUAGCCGUAGCUGAAGGAUUCCUGGUGCCAUCGACACAACUAUUUCUGGCGACGUUGCAAGGAAUACACAACAAACAUCAGUAUUGUAUCACCAUCACAUCUUUUGCCUUUACCUUUUCUUAGUUCGUUCCUUUUUGAUUUUAUCUUUCUCUAGUAGAAUAAAGGUCUUAGUGUUUUAGGCUUGAGUUUUGCUUUGUGUCACCCCCGAUGUAUUCGAGCUCGUGAGCCAUAUAAUAAAGAGUUACUUAGUUAAGGGACUUGCCUCAUGCCAUGAUCAAAAGAAUGAGCAAAGAUCAAAAGCAUGAAAAGAUCAUGCAAUGAUCUUAUGGGAAGUGAUGGCUUCACAUAUAAAAAGAAUGAUGAUUGAAACUUGUUGAGGGUAGACAAACAUAGACCUUGGUCAUUGUUGCAAUUAAUAGGAAGUGAUAAAGAAGGCGAGGUUCACAUAUAAAUAUAUCAUCUUUGACACCAUCUAUGAUCGUGAACACUCACUAAACUAUUGCAUGCUUAGAAGUAGAUGUUGGACAAGGAAGACAACAUAAUGAAUUGUGUUUGCUUGGUUCCGAACAAUGUUAUAUGACUAGAGAUCCCUUAGCAUGUGACGAUUGCUUCCACCUCAUAUUAGCCAAACCUCUCGCACCAAGUAGAGAUACUACUUGUGCAUCCAUAAACCUUCAACCCAGUUUUGCCAUGAGAGUCCACCAUACCUACCUAUGGAUUGAAUAAGAUCCUCAAGUAAGUUGUCAACGGUGCAAGCAAUAAAAAUUGCUCCCUAAUAUGUAUGAUCUAUUAGUGUGUGGAAAAUAAGCUUUGUACGAACCUGUGAUGAGUAAGACAUAAAAGCGACAGACUGCAUAAUAAAGUUCUUUAUCACAUGAGGCAAUAUAAAGUGACGUUCCUCCGCACUAAGAGUGCACACAUCCAAACCUCAAAAGCGCAUGACAACCUCCGCUUCCCUCUGCGAAGGGCCUAUCUUGUACCUUUACCUUUUGCCUUUCAAAGAGUCAUGGUGAUCUACACCAAUUCCUUAUUUCACCUUUAUCGUGGCUAACGUCAUAUUCUUGGGAAAGAUCUAUAUUCAUAUGUCAACUUGGAAGUAAGUAUUCAUGAAUUAUUAUGGUUGACAUUACCCUUGAGGUAAGUGGUUGGGAGGUGAAACUAUAAGCCCCUAUCUUUCUCUGUGUUCAGCUAAAACUUUGAUCUCAUGAGUACCCCAUAAGUUGUAGCAAUUGUAGAAGACAAAAGGAUGAUUGAGUAUGUGGAUUUGCUUUACAAGCUCUUAUUUGACUCUUUCCGAUGUUGUGAUAAAUUGCAAUUGCUUCAAUGACUAAAGGCUAUCGGUUGUUAAUUCUCGGUAAGGUUCUUGAUCCAUGCUUUACUUUGUGAAGGAAUUGUCACUUUAGAAUAAGAGAUGAUAUGAUGGUAUUGUUGUUCUGACAAUGAUCAUGAUGCCUGCAUGUUCGUAUCUUGUUUUGUCGACACCUCUCUCUCUAAAACAUGUGGGCAUGUUUAUUGAUCUUGGCUUUCGCUUGAGGACAACCGAGGUCUAAGCUUGGGGGAGUUGAUACGUCCAUUUUGCAUCAUGCUUUCAUGUUGAUAUUUAUCGCUUUAUGGGCUGUUAUUACACUUCAUGGUACAAUACUUAUGCCUUUUCUCUCUUAUUUUGCAAGGUUUACAUGAAGAGGGAGAAUGCCGGCAGCUGGAAUUCUGGCCUGAAAAAGGAGCAAGUUUGAGAUACCUAUUUUGCGCAACUCCAAAAGCCGUGAAAAUCAACGAGGAUUUAUUUUGGAUUUUAUAAAAAAUAUUGGGUCGAAGAAGUACCAGAGGGGCGCCAGUAGGAGGCCACAAGCCUGCUAGGCGCGGCCUCCCCCCUGGCCGCGCCUAGGGGGCUUGUGGGCUCCCAGUUCCCCCUAUGCCCCCCUCUUUUGCUACAAGAAGGGUUUCGUUCCACAAAAAAUCAAGAGCAGGCUUUGGGGAGGAAUCGCCGCGGCCAUGAGGCGGAACUUGAGCAGAACCAAUCUAGAGCUCCGGCAGGACGAUCCUGUCGGGGAAACUUCUCUCCCGGAGGGGGAAAUCAUCGCCAUCGUCAUCACCAACACUCCUCUCAUCGAAGGGGACUCAUCACCAUCAACAUCUUCAUCAGCACCAUCUCAUCUCCAAACCCUAGUUCAUCUCUUGUAACCAAUCUCCAUCUCGCGACUUCGAUUGGUACUUGUAAGGUUGCUAGUAGUGUUAAUUACUCUUUGUAGUUGAUGCUAGUUAGAUUACUUGGUGGAAGAUUAUAUGUUCAGAUCCUUGAUGCUAUUCAUUACCUCUCUGGUCAUGAAUAUGAUUAUGCUUUGUGAGUAGUUACUUUUGUUCCUGAGGACAUGGAAUAAGUCAUGCUAUAAGUAGUCAUGUGAAUUUGGUAUUCGUUCGAUAUUUUGAUGUGUUGUAUGUUGUUUUUCCUCUAGUGGUGUUAUGUGAACGUCGACUACAUAACACUUCACCAUUAUUUGGGCCUAGAGGAAGGCAUUGGUAAGUAGUAAGUAGAUGAUGGGUUGCUAGAGUGACAGAAGCUUAAACCCUAGUUUAUGCGUUGCUUCGUAAGGGGAUGAUUUGGAUCCACUAGUUUAAUGCUAUGGUUAGACUUUGUCUUAAUUCUUCUUUUGUAGUUGCGGAUGCUUGCGAGAGGGGUUAAUCAUAAGUGGGAUGCUUGUCCAAGUAAGGGCAGUACCGAAGCGACGGUCCACCCACAUAUCAAACUAUCAAAGUAGCGAACGCGAAUCAUAUGAACAUGAUGAAAACUAGCUUGACAGAAAUUCCCAUGUGUCCUCGGGAGCGUUUUACCUCCUAGAAGACUUUGUCCAGGCUUGUACCUUGCUACAAAAGGGAUUCAGCCACUUUGCUGCACCGUUGUUACUUUUGUUACUUGCUACUUGCUACGAAGCAUCUCACCAAACAACUACUUGUUAUCGAUAAUUUUAGUGCUUGCAGAUAUUACCUUGCUGAAAACCACUUGUUUGAUCCUUCUGCUCCUCGGUGGGUUCGACACUCUUACUUAUCGAAAGGACUACGAUAGAUCCCCUAUACUUGUGGGUCAUCAGGUAUCAUGUGCUUCUUUCAGCACCUUCUCUGUCGUAAGAUCGAAUCAGGGUACCACAAUGCGAUCACUGAAGUACAAGGUUCCAUCUUCAGCAAACGAGAAAUCUCUGGAUGUUUCUAAAUCAAGAUCCCUUUUCAUGCGAUCAACAUGAGUAUCUUUGCCUUGCGCGGACUUAAUAGCUCCCAGAAGAGUUGGUUCCAAGACAAGGUUAUUAAGAAAACCGUGUGGAACAAUGUGAAGGUUCAAUUUGCAGAACUCUUCAUGAAGAUGAGGAUUAGCCCUCUGAACCAUGUAGUUGUUGCGGUAAGCUUUUUGAGUCAAGGCAUCGACGAGGACAUUUCCCUUGCCAGGGGUAUAAGAAAUACCCUAGUCAUAGUUCGUCCAUCGCCUUUGACAAAGAUUUACAUCUCGCCGAGUAAACAGAUACUUCAGAGUUUGAUGGUCGGUGUAGAUCUCACAACAAUUACCGAGAAGGUAAUGUCGCCAUAGCAAUAACGAAUAGAUAACUACAACAAGUUCAAGGUCAUGAACUGGAUAGUUCUCUUCAUGAGGACGCAACUAUCGUGAGCUAUAGGCAAUUACAUUGCGCUCUUGCAUUAGAACACAGCCUAAUCCGUGACGAGAAGCGUCACAAUACAUGACGAAGUCCUUAUGAGUAUCCAAAGGAGAAAGCACUAGAGCAGCUGUCAGCUUGUCCUUGAGCGCUUGGAAACUUUCAUGACAUUCUUCUAUGCACUCAAACUUAACGCCUUUAUGAAGCAGAUUGGUCAAGAGUUUGGCAAUCUUGGAGAAGUUCUCGACAAAACAACGACAAUAACUGGUGAGUCCGAGAAAACUUCUUACUUGCUUGACAUUCUUCGAGGGAGUCGAGUCAAGAAUAGCGUGAACUCGUUCAGGGUUGACCACACUACCAUCCUUCGAUAUCACAUGACCAAGGUAGGUCACUUAGUCCAAACAAAACUCACACUUGGAAUACUUGGCAUAAAGUUGAUGCUCCCGAAGCUUUUCUAGUACAAGACGAAGAUGUUCAACAUGCUCUUCUUUAUCCUUGGAAUACACCAGGAUAUCAUCCAGAUAAACCUUAUUGAGGUAGUCCAUGAAGAUAUAAUUCAUCAACCGAGAGAAGGUUGCUGGACCAUUGGUUAAACCGAAAGACAUAACGGUACACUCAUAUGAACCAUAGCGAGUAACAAAUGUGGUCUUGGGAAUAUCUUCUUCACGAACACGGAUCUAAUGGUAACCAAACCUCAAGUCGAGUUUAGAUAAUAUCGAGGAACCAACAAGUUGGUGAUACAGAUCAUUGAUCUAUGAGGAGUUCCCAUAAAUUAUAUUGAUCUAUGAGGAGUUCGGACACAUGAAACGUCGCUAUCUACCUCUCCGGCCAACCCAAUCCUCCCUCCCGGUCUCAUUUCCUUCCACUCCGCCCAUUCUUUUCCUUACUGUGCACCCCCACCCUUCACUUUCGUUGUCGUUCUUUUAUCUCUCCGGCUGUCACAUAGGCACUGUCGGACGUCCGCAACCAUCAUCAACACGCCCGCUUGCCUAGCUAUCAACCUUCGAGACGUUUGUACCCAGGUACACUUCGCCCCCCUAUCGACGGCCUCCAUGACGGACACCACUGAUACAUCUCCAACGUAUCUAUAAUUUUUGAUGGUUCCAUGCUAUUAUCAUGUCAACUUUGGAUGUUUUGUAUGCAUGAAUAUGCCAUUUUAUAUCUUUUUUGGGACUAACCUAUUAACUCAGUGCCAAGUGCCAGUUUCUGUUUUUCCGUGUUUUUGACCUUUUUCACAGGAGAAUAUUAAACGGAGUCCAAAUGGAAUAAAACCUACGGAAUGAUUUUUUUCCAUAACACAAGAUACGCAGGAGACUUGAGAACCAAGGCAGGGGACCUCGGAGGAGGUCACACGCCCACUAGCCCCGGCCUGGGUGGGCCUAGCAGGCUUGUGGGCCCCCCGUGGCUCCUCUGCCCUACUUCUUCCGCCUAUGAAUUUUCCAAAAAUCUAAAAAUACCAGAGAGAGCCACGAAAAGACAUUUCCACCGCCGCAAGCUUCUGUCUCCGCAAGAUUCCAUCUGGGGCACGUUCUGGUGCCCUGUCGGAGGGGCGGACACAGAGGGCUUCUUCAUCAACACCAUUGCCUCUCCGAUGAUGCGUGAGUAGUUCACCACAGACCACCGGGUCCAUAGCUAGUAGCUAGAUGGCUUCUUCUCUCUCUUGGAUCUUCAAUACAAAGUUCUCCAUGAUCUUCAUGGAGAUCUAUCCAAUGUAACUUUCUUUUGCGGUGUGUUUGUCGAGAUCCGAUGAAUUGUGGAUUUAUGAUCAGAUUAUCUAUGAAUGUUAUUUGAGUCUCCUCUGAUCUCUUAUAUGCAUGAUUUCAUAUCCUUGUAAUUCUCUUUGAGUUCUGGGUUUUGAUUGGCCAACUUGAUCUAUAAUUCUUGCAAUGGGAGAAGUGCUUGGUUUUGGGUUCAUAUCGUGCGAUGUCCUCACCUAGUGACAGAAGGGGUAGAGAGGCACGCAUCCUGUUGUUGCCAUCAAGGGUAAAAAGAUGGGGUUUAUAUCUAUCGCAUGAAUUUAUCCCUCUACAUCAUGUCAUCGUGCUUAAGGCAUUACUCCGUUUGUUAUGAACUUAAUACACUAGAUGCAUGCUGGAUAACAGUCGAUGUGUGGAGUAAUAGUAGUAGAUGCAGAAAGUAUCGGUCUACUUGUCUCGGACGUGAUGCAUAUAUGUAUGAUCAUUGCCUUAGAUAUCAUCAUGACUUUGCGCGAUUCUAUCAAUUGCUCGACAGUAAUUCGUUCAUCCACCGUAAUACUUGCUAUCAUGAGAGAAGCCUCUAGUGAACACUAUGGUCCCCGGGUCUACUUCACAUCAUAUUUUCAGCUCUACACUUUUACUUUGUUGCACUUUCCACCUUCAGAUCUCACCUUGCAAAUAAUCGUGAAGGGAUUGACAACCCCUUUAUAGCGUUGGGUGCAAGUUUGUUUGUUUUUGCGCAGGUACAUUGGUGACUUGUCUUGAUACUCCUACUGGAUUGAUACCUUGGUUCUCAAACUGAGGGAAAUACUUACUGCUACUAUGCUGCAUCACAUUUUCCUCUUCAAGGGAAAAACCAGCGCAAGCUCAAGAGGUAGCAACCACGCACGGCAGAUGUUCGAUCAAUGCCAUUGAGCUUAUUUUCAAACACUAUAUCAUUUUUAGAGCAUGAAGGAUGAUGAACUAAUCAACCAUGGAGGAUGAAUUGUUGUGCGGUACGUGGUUGGUCGUAUCCGCGGAUUUCAUAGGGCAUGAGAAAAGGGGAGGCCUUCUAACAGCAAGUGUAUAAAACUUUCAUGAAUGAAAGCACAUUGCGUCCUACGACAUGUAUAUCACUCAACCAUGCAACAUGAUGUCGUUGUGGUAUCUGGUAUGCUAUCCACGCCAGCGUCACCAAGUAUUGUAACGUGGUUCGUCAGCUCGAGGCAAGGUGGCCAUUGCAUGUGAGAGAGAACGAGAUCGUAAGUUUUGCUUCUCCUUACUCAACUUGUUAAUUAAUUUAUUACUCAAUGUUUAUUUAUACAUUAUAUUUAACCCGCACGCAUUGCCGUGGUUUAUUUAAAUACGGGUUAAAAUGUAUGCGGCUACAACUUGAUAACGUACGUCCUUCCGCAUUUGUCUUCGCGGACUGGUUUCUUUGUCCUCGAACAAAUGCAGAUUUUUUUUACGGGUGGCCGUUGAAUAUGCCGCUACCACUCACAUGCUUUUUCCUGCCUAUUACUGGAUACCGAUACGAAUGACGCGGUCUCUUUUGCCCGUCAUUGACAAAGGUGUGGGUAUAGCCAUUUCUUUAGCAGCGAAGCUAGUAAUUAAGCAGAAUCAGAUUCACGCGUGCAACAACUUCAUGGUGGAACUUCAUCGACAGUUCGACUCAAUAUAGCCACGCCGAUGCAACAGAUAAUGCAAAUUGGACAUUAUAUUUCUUGAUAUAAAGUUACAAGUUUCAAAUACAUGAGUUUAUUCCUUUGCUUAUUUCUGUGUGUACUCCACUUGGCAACCAUGAAUGGAGAAUGUAGACAUGCACACGCGUACGGCCAGUACAACACUCGCCAUAUGCAUGCAGGAAGCGUUUUACUUCUUGCACACAACACCUUUGCCGUCCAUGCCACUGGCGCAGGUGACACCAGCGAGCUCAGAUAGCACCGCGGCACCGUCGUUUCCACGGCUGACCCCAUAGCGCGCCACGCUGCAGUCCGCGGCGAAAAUGCUGGAGGUGGUGAAGGUGGCAUCUCCACCCAUGGUGGGCAUGGAGGCCCUCACGUCAAAAUGGUUGACGUAGUCGGAGCGGUAGGUCUGUCCGACCACACCGUGGACGUCGUCGGUGAGCGCGUUAAACUUGAAGGCCAGCUCGAGGUGCGCUAGGCAGUCAUCGUCAGUGACGCCGUAGCGGUGCACCCUCGAUUCCUCCUCGGUGAUGGGCACGGCGUUGGCCCUGAUGCUGAACUUUCUGUCAACGGCGACCAGCACGCCGUUGGCCGCCUUGGUGCGGGUGACAGACAGCUCGGGUACGCGGCUGGACGUCCACUUGGCACCAUCGACGAGGUCGGCGGGAAGGUAGACUGGUUCACCGUCCAAGGUGAUGUCUAGGUGCUCCACGGCGUCGUCCCAGGUGCCGGUCUUCCUGGCGCCGAGGUAGAGGCGGUGGCCGUCGAAGAGGACGGCGAUGGCCUGGAUCCAGGUGAAGUCCCGGGACAUGCCGCUGUGGCCGCUCUUGCCGAUGAAAUGCGCGUUGAUGUGAAGGUCACGGUCGGAGACGACGCAGAAGUCGGCAUCGCUGCGUCCGUGGAAGUAGAAGGCGUUGCCGUCACCACCAAUGAACCGCGGGUCGCCGCACGCCCCUGGGGUGUUGCACACUGCACCAGGGCACGAACCAUAACCAUUAACCAACAAAAUCAACGUUACUACAAUGUAGAGUAAGUACCUCCAUUGUUAAGGCAUCGAUCGAGUGCUUACCGCAGACGGGUUUGCAUGUGUUGCAGUCUGGGUAGCAGGACUGGGGGCAGUUGGCGGGGCAGUCCAUGUUCCGGUUGAAGCAGUAGGGGUUCUCCUUGCGGCUCUGAGUGCACUUGACCGUCGUUGGCUUCGGCUUCGGCUUCGGGCCCUGGGCUUUGGGUGGCCGUGCCGAGGAUUGCGCGGUGGCGGCCUCCGCGGCGGCGAGAAGGACGACAGCCGCUAAAGCCAGCACGACUCCCACACGCCUCGCCAUUGCGAUCGCCCUCACGCUCUCAGUAGUUACUAUGGUAUUUUCUUUUGUUGCUAAUGACUGGUGGAGAAGGAUGGGUGCGUUUGUAUGCAUGGCUCCAAGGCAAUUUAUAGGCGAUGGAUCGAGUUAGCUUGCUUCCUGCAUGGAGAUUGUCAACGCCGCGAGGGCCGGUAUGCCUUCACCGGCCGGAAACAUGCAUGCCGCUGGCUUGAAGCGAAAAACGUACUUUGCGUGCAUAAAUCCAUGCGUAGAAUCGUAGAUGGAGCUUUAUGCUACCUGCUACGUGCUAGCUACGUAGCUCCGGGCUAUAUACAUGCAUGUAAGUAUACAUAUGGAGUACUAGUUACCGUCCCUGGUUUUCAGGGCAAGAUUCCCAGGAUGCAGCUUAAUCUUGAAGAAAAAUGGCUAAUGCAUGUGCUUAACAGCCUGCUAAAGGAAGCGAUCCGAGAGAGUUUCCCCGUCGUCCUGGAUUACAAUAUAUAUCUCGUACGUACCCGUUUACUCUCGUCUUGUCCUAUUCAGUUUGUGGCAUCAUCCUCGGAUCAAGCAGUGGAGAGCUGGCAAAUUGUCAAAGCAUGGGACACCGUAGGCUAAAAUACUUCACUUUAAGCUAGUAUCAAGAAUAACAAGUAUCAAAUGCUUAGGUAAACUUAAGGAGAACUAUAUUAUAUGCAUUAAUGUGAAGAAAAAACUUCACAAUUCUAAAAUUUAAACAAGUCCAACUAGAAAAUGAGCACGAUCAGUAUUUAACUGCACAAUUUCUUGAUCCUCAAAAAACAAACUGCUUUAUUUCUCUGUAAAUUGUAAAAAAUGAAUGAGACCAACCCAGAUUAGACUAGUCUGCUGACAUUUUUUUAUAGAAGAAAACUCCAUGAGCAUCUAGUGUUAGAGCUGAGGCUCGAACACCGACGGACUGGCUGCAAACUCUAGCGUCAAGCCAAUUGAGCUAUGCUUAAAUAAUAGAGAAUAGCUCAUGUAGUUUUCGCAUGCCACCGAUGGUCCUCGGCGCCGUUCGUCUAAUGUUGCUUGCUGCCUUGUGAUUCCAACCUUACAAAUCUCCAGUAACUCCGUGGAUCGUGACGCUCCAUCUUCAAGCUAGGGAAUGAAGACGUGCAGCAUGCCGCACACAAUUGCAAGUCGCUGUCUGGCAUAUACUACCAUGCUCAAGAAUGUUACGAGUGAUCGAUCCAUUUCCUUUAGGUUUCCUUUUAUGCAUUCACGAGCAUGUGACUAAUUAUGGCCCAACAAUUGAAAUAACUAAAUGGCCCUAUGGCUAUUGCUACUGGUUGUUAGGAAUAAGCCCAAAACGCUAGGAAACGCGGUAGCUGGCCCAGUUAAAGGACGACAAUUAGUUAGCGAGCGUUUCUUCGGAGACUUUCAGCGAGCACUGCGUCGUCAUUUGGAGUGUUCUCACCCGUCAUCAUGUGUCGCGUUUUUUUGCACGAGUUUUUGGCUUUUUAGUUUCUCCACCUCAAAGACCAACGACUCCGACCUGUAAUUCUGUGCAGNUGUUUGGGUUUUUCACCGGUCUUUCUUAGUUUUUUGACAAAAAAAAUAAAAAUUGCAUCAAAAAACAUUUUUUCUGUUUUUUUGCGAGUUGCCUCUCGGAAAUGAAAAAACGUGUUUUCUUACGAGAGGCACGACUCGGAAAGGAAAAAAUGCUUUUUUUCCAUUAGAGACACGGUUUUGCCUGCGCGAGAGGCAUGCUCGUGCCUCUCGGAAAGAAAAAAAACCGUAUUUUUUAGCAAGAGGCACGGUUUUGCUUCCGCGAGAGGCACGGUUUUGCCUUCGUGAGAGGCACGGUUGUGCCUCUCGGACAGGAAAAAACCCGCAAAAAAACGUGUUUUCUAUAUUUUUCCUAUCACGAGAGGCACGGUUUUUUGGUCCUUUUUUUCAUAAUAAAACAGUUCAUCAAAAUCUAUCAACAUGGGAUCUAGUUUUGAAGCUCUCGACGCGAGAAACCCAACACUGAAAACGGUUCGAUAUUUAGAUACACAGUUUAGGAGAUAGAACUUUCUAAAAAUACGGAUCUAUGGAAAAAGGGAAAACUCCAGGGUUGCGACAAAUGGCAUGCAUGCAGUGUGCCACUUGUCUCAACCUGGGAGAUGGGAGUGAUCUUUGAAAAGGCGUACUCCUCAAUUAGUGAUUUCGGUACAGAUCGUAUUUUCGAUAGUUCCAGCUAAAAAUUGUGAGAGGGGAGGAAAGUGUUGAUGUUAACAAUCAUACGAUUCUGGGUCUUAUUCCAAAGGUAGCAAGCCCCUCAAAUAUUCCACAAUUCUGCCCAAUCAGUUUAUGCGACGUUGUUUAUAAGAUUGCGUCAAAAGUGGGUGUAACCCAUCUCAAGCUCAGUCAUCCAGAGAUUAUCUCUCAUGAACAGUCUGCUUUUGUUCCUCGUAGACUAAUUAUAGAUAAUAGCAUCUCCGUAUAUGAGCGUUUGCGCUUCAUGAAAAGGAACAUGGCAAAGUCCAACUGCUAUGCAACACUCAAAUUCGACAUGAUGAAAACUUAUGACAGAGUAGAAUGGCAGUAUCUGGAGUCGAUCAUGUUGAAUCUUGGCUUUGAACAUCAUUGGGUCAAUGUCGUAAUGGGGAUGGUGAGGUCCAUCUCAUUUUUAGUUACUUUUAAUGGUAAAAAGCUUGAUGAGUUCAUACCAUCCAAGGGUAUUCGAUAGGGAGAUCCUAUUUCACCCUACUUGUUCCUGAUAGCAGCGCAAAGCCUUUCGUGUCUAUUGAAAUCCAACUAGUCGUCUCACUUGAACAUGAUAAAGGUGUAUUCAUCGGCUCUGCCGGUUAACCAUCUCAUGUUAGUAGAUGAUAGCAUGUUGUUCUUCAAGGCAAGUUCUCGGGGUGCUAACGAAGUGUCAAACCUAUUGAAUCACUAUCGCCAAGCUUCGGGACAACAAGUGAACACAGAAAAAUCUUCCAUCCUUUUUAGUAAGGGCUGCCCAAAUGUUACUCAAGAGGCAAUUAAACUCUCUCUUCAAGUUCCCAAUGAAUCACCUAAUGAGAAUUACCUAGGCAUGCCAAACGACGUUGGGCAUACAAAGAAUGCUUUCAAGUUUCUGAAGGAUAGAGUUUGGAACAAAAUAAAAGUUUGGAUUGAGAAACUUUUGUCUCCUAGGGAAAAGAGGUACUCAUCAAAUCGGUAGCUCAGGAAAUACGAGUCUAUUCGAUGGCAUGCUUCUGACUACCUCAAGAACUCUGUGAGCAUAUCAAUUCUCUUAUCUGCGGCUUCUGUUGAGGGAGUAAAGAAGGGGUUUGUGACCUAGAGCUUUUUAAUCUGGCUUUGUUGGCUAAGCAAGCAUGGAAACUACUUGAGGACCCAUCGUCUCUUAGCGCACAACUACUGAAGGUGAUAUAUUUUCCUAAGUCCGAUAUUCCUGAAGUUGAGUUGGGAUCUAACCCUUCGAAGUGUGGCAGGCAAUACUAGAUUGUAGAGAUGUUCUUAAGCAGGGACUGAUACGGUGCAUAGGAGAUGGUCAUACUACAAGCAUUUGGGAUAAAAAUUGGGUUCCAUGGGAGCCAUUGUUGCGGCCCCUAAACUCGGCUGAAGCUUCAUGGAACACCAACUUGGUAAGCCAAGUUUUUCUACCGAUAGAUGCCGAGGCGAUCCUCAGUAUACCAUUAUGCACAAAAGUGGCCUCUGAUUUUUGGGCUUGGCACUUUGAGAGAAAGGGCAUGUUUUCUGUGAGAUCGGCCUACAUGAUGCUUGUUGAUACUAAAAAUUGGAGGGAAAACUAGCUUGAUGGGGUUGCUGGUUGUUCGAUAAUACGAAGACAGUUAGGGUGUGGUCUAGGUUGUGGAAAAUUUAUGUCCCGUCCAAGCUGAAAGUUUUCCUAUGGCAACUUGCUCAGCAGCAGGGUUGGGCCUAUAAUGGUGCAAAAUGUGUUGCAUGCACAGUGCCCACAAUUUUGAAGGACCCCACAUUUUUAUAUAGGCCAAAUAGUAUUUUUCAAAAAAAAUCUAGCCGCUGGAGCUGGGCCUGAGUCGAUGAGGAGCUGGAGGUAGGCCUCGAGGCCAUCGAGCGCAGCAGUGCUAGUGCCGAUCAAUCUUUCGAUCGAUAAUAUGACAAUGCAAUCCUCAAAAACAAAAGAUAAUACGGAAAUGCUACCGUCGGUAAAAAAAUAUAAUCGCUAUAGAAGUCAAUUGGGAUCGUCUCGUCUAUCGAUCUGAAGACUAGCUGCGCUGGAUUCUCUAUAGGAAAAAUGAUCAUCUCGUCGCCUUCGCCUCAUCACAUCGAUCAGACCCAUGCCGCUACCGCUAUUCCCUUCCUAGCUUCCUCUUCCAAAUUUCAAACUCACCGUCUCGUCGAAUCGAUUCGUGACCAACCCCAACCACCAGGUGUUUGCUGAGUCCUCUAUUCCAAUUGCAUCGUUGUGUCUAAGUUGGGUCUAAUUCCUCACUUGGGUCUAAGUUGGCACGCAGGCAACCAACCACCUACACCCCGGUUGCAUCGCUGUGUCAAAAUCAUGCCUUUUCUUCAGAGUUGAGACCUGAAAAGUUGUAUGUGUAUUAGUAUAUACAACCAGAGUACUACAAGAGUAGGUACUUAGGUAGUGGAUGAAGAUGAAAUUGGGUUUUGACUUUGUGAAUGAUUAGCCAAGAAUGCAGAACCUUGGUCAUUGCAGUUGCAUCACAUGUUCUUUCUAGUGUUCGCCUAGUAGAGAGAGUAUCAAUUUCUUCCAGGGGCCUGUUAUUGUGAUAGAGUAAUAUAUAUUCUUUCUUCCAAGGGCCACAAUCGUUCAUAUUGGGUUUGUGGAAAUAGAGAUGGAUGUGUAACUGAAAAAGCAUCUUCAAUUAAGCCUGACCGGAGACUGUCUAAAAUCAUUGCAGAAAUUCGAAUUUCUCUUUGGAUGCACCUUGAAAAUGAAUGUAUGAAUGAUUUAGGGGAUGUAUGAAUGUUGUUGUUACUUCCUAGAUGAUUUGCUACUGUCAGUGAGAUCAGUCAUUCUAUUUGCUUGCAUCUGUAGUGUACUGUACUCCAUAUGGAGAUUUGCAAGUUUGAAGCUGUGGAUGGUUCAGUCCUUGUCAUUCAAUUAUUUGCAUUAUCCUGGCUCCCGGAUUACUUGUAAGUAAUUAACUGGACAUCUUGGAGUACUUAAUUACAAUAACUUGACUUGUUGUUAACUGUUGUACUCCUAAAUCCAAGCAAGUUGGAUUAACACCCUCUUCAGUAAAAUUAAAGAAUCUUUUAUGUGCUAUAUUAAAUGAUUAACUGAAACCUUUUUCUAUCAAUAUAACUAUAUUUUUUGGUGAUGUUAUCAUUUCAUCAAGUUUGCAGUUUACUCAUCAUUUUAUCAUGUGUGCUUUAUAAAGAUUUGAGUACUCGUUAUAGGUACGUGAGCCCUAGCUAAAUCAGCCCCUUCAUUUAUAGGUACCCGAACCCUAAAGCAGCGUGUUGACGAACUUCUUGAAGGACACGUGAAGUAUUGUUUGGUGGCUUUUAAGAUGAGACCAUACAUUUUUAAAUCUUUAGCAUCAUAUCUUAGAAGGAAAGAAUUCAUAAACACACACAAGACUCAAGGUCGAGGAGAAGUUAGCAUUCUUCCUGUACAUGUUGUCACAUAAUCCAUCAUAUGAAGAUAUGCAACUGGAAUUCAAGCAUAGUUGAUCCACGUUUCCUGAGUACAUCAACGCGUUCUUUGAUAUCAUCCCUGCCCUAUGUACUCGCUUUGCGGAGCCUCCAUGGAUUGAAAAACCACAUCCAAUAAUUGCUAACGAUGAGCGAUUCUAUCCAUACUUCAAGGUUGUUAUCUUGACACUUCAAAAAUUCCUUACCUUUCUCCAUUAAAAUUUCAGAAGUUAAUUAGCAAAUUUGAAUUUUUACAGAACUCUAUAGGUGCUAUCGAUGGAUCACAUGUUCCUAUUACCAUUGCACCUGAGAGUGUUGCCCCAUUUCGGAAUAGAAAGGGCACCCUGAGCCAAAACAUAAUGAUUGCUUGCAACUUUGACUUGAAGAUCACAUUUAUAUCAUGUGGCUGGGAGGGGUCUGCAACAGAUGCUAGGGUUCUUCGAUCUGUAAUGAACUCUGGGUUUAAAGUACUCGAUGGGAAGUUAUACCUCGUCGAUGGUGGUUACGCAAACAGAUGUCACGAUGUUACAUUCAAUUAGGAACCAAGCGAGUAUUCCAACAGCUACCGCAAUCUUUCAUUACAUCAUCAAAUUGCAUGCUGGUGAUGAGGAAUGGCUUGACAACCAGCAGAUAACAUACCAAUGGCUAAUUUUGUCAAUGUACCCAAUGACAAUGAUAACUACCAAGGGAACAACAUUCAAGGCAAUGCUUUGCGAGAUGAAAUUGCAAUGAAAAUGUGGAAUGAUUUCCCACAUAACUAACUCUUUGUAAGUUUGUGGAUGUAAUUGACAAUUUCUAAUUCAACUAAUUAAUUGUCUUCAAUUUGUGUGUUAAUUUGUUUUGUCCAAAUAGACAUGUAUGCGAAAGGGUCUCCCAAAUUCAACUUGGCACAAGUUGCUACCUUAUUAAGAAUGAAAGGUCUUCUUGGUGCUAAAAUGGAUUAACCAAAGUUUACCAAAUACAGUUCUCCAAAAGGUAUUCUUGUUUGUCACUACAAUUUCUACACGUCACAAGUAUUUUUAUGCACAUAGCCAUUUGAUCUGACUCUGAAUGUUCCAAACAUUAUUCUUAGCUUUGUGCUUUAAUUGGCUUGCGUAGUUGUGAAACAAAGAGCACAAUGGAGUUUAGGACUUGAAAAAAGGUUUGGUGGAGAUACUUAUGGAGCACCAUACUCCUUACCACCGAGGGCAAAAUGGAUUGAGCAAGGAAACUUGGAACUUGAUGGUGACAAAAUUCCAUGUGAAACACAAACAUGUAAAGUUCUCGAAGCCUCAAAUUCAAGAUAAGGAGAAGGAUCACAAAAGAGAAUGCAUGAUGUUAAAAUAAGCUCGAAAGUAAAGUGGUGUUGGCUGGGAUGGCAAAAGAUGUAUGAUAGAAGCUGACACCGACCUUUGGGAUAAUCUGGUGAUUGUAAGUUCUUUAAUUCCACCCUUCGAUAUGGUUACAAUUUUAUACAAUUCUAAUAUUCAUCUAUUACUCUGGUUCUAAUUACAUAAUUUCUCUAACACCAAGUGCAUGGAUGUGUUGAAGACAAUGGUGGCUAUCACCCGCAUCAAGAAGAUCAAAGCAUUCAACGUCUUCAAGGAUGCUGCAAACCGUGAGAUUUUCAUAAAUGCCGCUGAUAAUAAUAACGAGACUGAUGUUAUGUGGCUUCAGUGCGAGAUGUCCCCAUGAUGUAUGUUCAAGUUUUGAACUCUCAAGUGUUGACUAUAAUGCUUGUUUUAUUUCUAGAUGACUUUCUGUUAUAUGUAAUAUGUGUUAGAACAUACGAAACUAUUUAGUGAUCCCCUGCAGAAAGUUAUCAACUAUCUAUACAUUUAUAGAAGAAGUGAUCUAUGUUUCCCUCGAAAUAACAAAAGCAACAUCUAGUGUCUUUGGCUUUCAAAUUCCCCCUCUUAAAAUUGUCUACAGUCAAGAUACUUAUUUUGAGAAAAACCAAAUCAACACCAAGUUUUAGAGGAAUACGAUCUAGCCUACCACAUCUUGUGAGGACACAACACCUGCUGAGGUUUCAAUUCUGAAACGAUUAUUUUGCUUGCUUUGAACAUAAAUGGUGUCCACUGAUUGUGGUUGUGCAAAUCAUAUAUACCAUUGUUGAGUGCAAAAAUGGAUUCGCAAAAGAUUACCAAAAGGAUGAUCAUGACAUCAAAAGAGCAACUCAUCUCCAAUACAACAUCAUUUCUCAUCAUUUCUUGGCCUCCAAUAAUACUCAGCCUUGGACGUAAACAUCAACAAAGGGAAGGUUGUUGUGUGGCUAUAUUGCAUUAUUAUUGUUGCAAAUGUUUGUUGUGAAUGUGAUGUAGAAUUAUGUUGUUGAUGUGAUGGUCUGCAAAAUUAAGCCUUGCAAAAUUAUGAUGUUGCUGAUUCAAAGAUCACAUUUUUAUUUUGAUUCUCCAAUAAUCUUUGUCCCAUAAUUAUGUUAUGACUAUGAUUAAGUGUUGUUAUGAUAAGAUAUUGAUUCCAAGACAUCGAGAAUUAUGUUGUUGUUGUAAUGAUCUACAAAUAUCACAUUUUUAUUUUGAUUAUCCAAUAGUACAAAGGCAAUCCCCACGUGUGAAACAAUAUUUAUAUGUGCAAGGGAAUAUAGGGGAUUUGGAUGGAAAGGGAAUGUGGGGGAUUUUGAUGGAAGGGAAUGUGGGGUAUUUGAAGGGAUUGGGUGAAGGCAAGGGGAUCACCAAAUCCCCUACCCCCUAGUGGCUGGAAAAAAGCUAGUGUCAAACGAGGCCUUAAUGUGGACGGGGUGUUCUUUAGAGAUGAGAAUGGCAACACAGGUCGCAGCGGUUGCAUUUUUUAGAGAUGGGAAUGGGAAUUAUGUCACUCUAUUAUUGGCUCUUUAUUCUACCUAUGUACAUCUAAACCAGACACCAUGCUUAGUGUUUGCAUGUCUGCCCGUUUCCAAGCAACAACGAAGGAAUCACACCAUAAGGUUGUGAAACAUAUUCUUUGAAAUCUAGAUCACACACCAACGCAUGGAUUAUGGUACCCCAAGGGUUCAAAUCUUCACCUCGUUGGAUAUUCUGACUCGGACUAUGCUGGUGACCGUGUGGAUCGCAAGUCAACAUCAGGCACCUGUCAUUUCCUCAAACGAUCCUUAGUAUGUUGGUCAUCAAAGAAGAAGAACCGUGUGUCACUCUCCACUGCUGAAGCAGACUACAUUGCUGCUGGGUCUUGCAGUGCUCAACUGUUGUGUAUGAAGCAAACUCUCAAGGACUACGACAUCAACAUGAAGAAUGUGCCACUCUACUGCGACAAUGAGAGUGCAAUCACGAUUGCAUACAACCUAGUAUAACACUCGAACACCAAGCACAUCUUGAUUCAUCAUCAUUUUCUUCGUAAUCAUAUACUCAAGGGCAACAUUGUCGUCAACCACGUAAAGACUGAAGGACAGUUAGCGGAUAUCUUCACUAAGCCCUUGGAUGAAAAGAUAUUUUUCAUGUUGCGGUGUGAGCUAAAUAGCUUAGAAUCUUCGAAUGUUCUAUGAAAGGACACACAUCCUAACACUUAUGCAAAAUUGAUGACUUAUAUGUGCAACACACGAAGUAAUGUUUUUAUUCAAUCACUAAAGAAUAACACUUAAGUGUGAAGAAAUUAAUGAAGAAUUUGAUUCUCAGGAUCCUACGACAAUUGUAUGCGGUGCGUGAAAUCAUCAUUCUUAUACGGUGGCUCACGCCAACAACCCAAUUUGAAAUUAUUCAAGUUGAAAUUCUUCAAAAUUGAUAUUUUUGCAAAUUCUUCAAAUCUUCAAAGUCUUCAAAUUUUCAAAUUCCUCAAAUUUGCAAAUUCCUCAAAAGUUCAAAUUCUUCAAACUUUUCAAAAUAUGUUAUUCAUUGACUAUAUACUUAUUGGUGAGCUUAUAAGUCCUCAACAACAUUCCCUUAUAGAUAAGUCUUCAUGCGGUGUUUUUUCUUCUAAGUGAAUAUGAUCGGAGCUCAACCUAGUCUAUUCUCAAAUUCUUCAUAUGCUUUCCAUUUGAAACUCGUUCAAAGUCUUCACUAAAUCUUUGUGAGCUGAAGAAUUUGCAAACAAAGUCCUCAAAAAUUUAUUUAAAAAUUUCUCCAGCCGUUACGUGUGUGCCACCUGUCGAGCGGAGAGGAAGGGCCAGGGUCAUUUUGAUCCAAAAAUUUCGGGCCAAACUAUUUCUCACUUGGGCUACAAAUACCCAACUCUUACCCCCUCAGUCACUUCUUCCUCUCGUUUCCACUUCUCAUCGCUCGAAGCUAGUCCUAGCGUCGCAGGUGGAAAUCAUCGUCGCCUUACUCACGUCGGCUGCAGAUCUCCUUCCUCCUCCGCCACCAUAGUUGUCUUCAGCCGCCGAGUUAGGGCGCUGAAGAUCUGAACCGACGAGCUUCUAUUUUCAGCGUCUACAGUUUUUCGUGUUCUUCAUGUUCUUCAUCCAAGGUAAUUAAUAUCUAAUUUUACUACCACUAUAGAUCUUUAUGUUUUCAUAAAAUCUUUGAAAAAGUGUUACUCCUUAGCAAAUUCAUAAGAUAAACAUUUCUAUGUCUAAGAACACUUGAUAAAUUUCGCUAAGUUACACAAUUCCUCAAGAGAUUCCUCAAUUGUGUGAAUUUUUGGAUCUGCACAACUCUAUAAUCCAAGACAACGACACUCAGCAAAAUUCGUCAAAAACAAUAUUGGCCAAAUUCCUCAACUUGAGUCAUUUUUAAAAAUCUUGUGAGAACGCAUAUGACCUCUUCAAAUUCGCCUAUACUCUGUUCACACGUACAAAAUGGUUGCUAACGAAUCUCUAUGUUCUCAUCAACUUAACUCAUUUGCAACAUUUCUUGAAGAAAAUUUGCAUACCUCAUCACAGUCCUCAAAAGUUCAUAUUCCUCAAAUGAAGAAAAUGGCUCAUGAGAAGAAACAAAAGGGUGGAAAGAAGGCCGAUACCAACACUGCCUUUAAGAUUCUUGAUGACAUCUAUGAUGAAUAUUGCACACGUGACAAAUAAAUCUAUGGAAAAGAGACAAAAGAAAAGCGCAAAACACGCUUGCAGAAAAUUGAGAGAAGAUGAGCCAAAGAAUGGAGGGAGUAUAGGUAUGUGACUCCCAAAUAAAUGAGGAAAUUUGCAUUGAAGCCUCCAUGCAAAAGGCCUCCUCUAGGCGAUUAACAAGUUGCUAAUCCAACAAGUCUUGCAACUAUUCACGACUAUCCUGAAGAAUAUGCAAAGAAACACGCGAGACUGCAGAAAGUUGCACAUCUGGCCGUGAAGAAAUUCAAUGAGGUAUCUGCUGUUGCAGCUGUUGCUGCCUCCUCCUCUGCUGGUGAGGCUUUUGGUACUAAGACUGAUCCAAUGUGAGCUAUUUUAAAGAAGUAUGCUGCCAAACCGAAGUCCUCACCAGCACAAACCUCACAACAAAUUCCUUUGUCAGCCCCUAAAGUGGCAGCAAAGUCCUCAACUGCUUCCACAUAGUCUUCUUCGCCACUGAAGUUGAUGACCAGUCAGAAUCCAAUAGGGACUACAAUUCCCUUAGGGCCAUCUACUUCAGGCUCCGCACAUACUUCUUCUAGUGCUAACAUGAAGAUGAAAAUGACUGUUGGGCGAGGAAAAAGGCCCAACCCUAGCGAAGUCCUCAAUGUUCCUUCUGCAUCAGAAGAAGAAGGUGAAGUACUUGAAGCAAUCAUCAGGAACAAGCAAGAAAAGGUCGCACAGGCCAAAGGCACUACCAUUCCUCUCAUGAUGGAUCCAAAGAUGAUACUAGACUUCAUAGAUAUCUGUUAUAACAAUCCUGAAACACUAAUUGACGACUUGAAGCUUCCACCUGGACCAAGUCACAUGUUGACAACCUUCAUCAAUGAAUAAAAAUGGAAGGCGCAGAAGGCCAAGCAAGCCAGAAAGGCUCAGACUCAGAAAAAGAGCUUUUUGUAGAACAACAUUCUGACUAUGACCCCUGGUCAGCUUCUCACCGCUCAAACUGAGAUCAAGAAGUUGAGUGAAGAAUCAACCGCUUUAAUGCAGACUAGAAGGGCACAAAAGUCAGAUUCGUCAACGUUGCCAUCAAAGUCAUCACUGAACACAAAAAGCAGGUUGCAGCCAAAACGCAACCUCAAAUUUCUGCGAAUUACAUAGUUGAGUUGCGUGACGACUCUGAUGAUGAAAUUCCUCCAACUGACGAACCUGCCAAGGCAGCUGAAGGAGUGGCUGAGCCUGAAGAACCUAUUACUGCCAGGAUAACUGCAACAGUCGUGCCUGAAGAAACUGCUCCUGCUCCAAAAUAUUCACAAGUGAAGAAAGUGAAGCUUCAUGAUGCAUCAGAAGUGAAGAAAACAAGGCUUUUGAACAGGAAGUAGCAAAGAAGAGAAAGGCUUCAACGAGCUGAGAGUCCUCAGAAGCAAAAUGCUUGAUGACUUUUCCAAAUUCCUCAACUGCUCCAAUCGUUGCCACCCCUAUCAGCACAACACCCUCCUAUGUGAUUGUGACAUUUGGUGUCGAGCACAUCAUCCAAGAAGGGCCCCGAAGACACACAUUCUGCUUCUUCCACACCAAUUGAUGAAGAAAUUGAAGUUGAUCCAAAUCCUUCAAUUCCUCAAGCCUCGUCUCCUUAGCCACAGCAGAAUACAGAUGUGUGAGAUGAUGAUGUGGACAUUGGCAGCACCACACCUGUGAUCAAUGAUUACUAUUAGGAAGAGGCUCAUCCCAACUCACCAUUGACCACUCGCAUUCCUCAAGUUCCUCAGUCCUAUGCUGCCACUGGAAUUCUUACAGGGUCUGACGACAAGAACACUCCGAUGAAGACCAUCCCGGAGACGAAAUCAGCUGGAUCAGCUGAACACACUGCAAAUCAAACAUCUACUUGGGAAAGUGCUGCAUCUGAAAUUGAUGAAUCUGCGCAGCAUAUUCCUCAAACUGAGAAGAGUUCCGCUAAAGAACAUGUUCCUCAGAGUGAAGACACUGCCUCUGAACCUCAUGUUGAUAAUCCUCAGUCGACACUAGUCGUAGCUGAAAUUCCUCAAACUGAAGAGCUUCGAAGACUUGUGAGACGAUUCAAGCCAAAUCUUCAACCGAAGAGUCUUCAGCCUUACAUUGGAACAAAAAGGCCAAAUUUAGACAAGGCAAAAUUCUUUGAGGAACAACACUAUUUCAUCGGCGUAAAUCCUUACGACUCUCCAAGGAUAAGGUGCAAAAGAUUCUGGACACACACUCAGAUGAACUACUAUGGCGCUAUACUCUUCAACAAGGACAAGGUUUUUUGGCACGAGCAAAUUCGUCAUGCAGACAUGGAGAAUACUCCUUUCUUUACUCCAGUUCUUCGUGUUCUUCGUGACACUGGAUUACUACCAUUCUGCAUGGACAUCUAUGACUGGAAUGAAGACAUCAUUAUUUAGUUAUACUCUACAUUGAACAUCUCAGGACAUGUCUUAGAUGUCAACACUUGGGUUCUGGACUAGAUGACUCAAAACACUCACUACAAAGCCCCUGCCACGGAAUUACUUCGUGCAGUCCCAGUUCCAAUUUCCUCAGAUGGAGCCAGAUGUGUCUAUGGCGAAAUUGAACUGCCAAAUCAUAUGAUGCAAGUAUCGAUGAAGCCUUUGGCUCCUGGAAGGCAGACAAGAACCACAUUCCUCCUGAAGGAAUUACUUUAUGUGCCCCGGACAGUUUACUGAAUCUUGUCCAAAACCUUCCGUCCAAUCAAGGGUCAUGACGCCAAUGAUGAAGAAAUUGUGGGCAUCAUGAAGAAUUUGCUCUUCAAUAUCAUCCAUGGAAUUCCAAUAAAUAUUCAUGAUUUCUUCAUGAGGACUCUGGCCAACACAUCUUUGUCACCUUUUGAUAUGAAACCGCCCUGGAUAAUGAAAUUCAUCAGGGACAGAUCUACUCUUCCUUACAAGGCAAAUAUUUUGAAUCACCUCACCUACUUGACUCCCCUUGAAAUUGGCAAGAAAUCUUUUGAGAUGAUUGACGGCAAAGGGGAAUCUUCGAUUGAUGAAGGACCUCGGCCCCUUGAUGGCCAAUUUUUCAAGGCUGCGUCAUAUUCCACCAAUGACGACACUGCCUCUUAGGACUCAGUUGCGAGAGGAAAAUCCCCUGGCGAAUGUGCACCACGUGUGCUGACUGACCAUGAGAUCUUGCUAAGUCUUCAUCGGAAAAUUGAUCGCAACCACAAAUGGAUAAAGCGUCAGUUUGGUGCCAUUGUGAAAGACCUCAAUGCAAUUCAGAAUGCUCUAAAGAAAGAUCACUAUUAUUUUCAUGAGAUCUUUGACUGCACAUGGGCCAUUCUGUCUCACCACAAGACUUCUAAGGAACUCACUGUUAUGAAGUUCCAGCAAGACUUCGACUGGUCCUGGCCGCCAAAGAAUAAGUUCAAGAAGACUCCAGUUCCUCAACUGGUGGCCAACUCAUUUUCUUCAACGUGCACCACUAAUGAUCGUGGAGAUCUUGACGACGUUGCUGCGACGAACGACCCCAACGCUCCCCCUCCACCAACAAAGUGAUAUUAUUCAAGGGUGUUAGUCCUCAGUUUCGUCCCUCUUCGUCACUUGAUGACAAAGGGUGAGAAAUCUGAGUUAGUCUUCAAGUAGGUCUACUUUAUUAGUUUAUGGGCUUUUGAACUAUGUUUUCUUUAAGUUAGAACUCUCGUUCUUCUGAAGUGUUUGGUUGUAUGACUUGUAAACUUAUGCUCGGUGGUGGCCUGACACUUUUGAACCAUUUUUCCUCGCAUGCUUAUUCCUCAUAUUGAUUAAUGCACGCAUGCUGAAAUUCGAGAGACUCCACUUUCCAUCAUGCAUUUCAAUUUCCUCAUGAUAUAUGUCAAAUGCCUGCAUGGAUUACUAGAUAUAGGGGGAUAUCUCCAUGGUAUAAAUCUUGAAUGUGCAUUUGUUGUCUAAAGAAAAUUCCUCAAAUAUGCACAUCUUCAGGGGGAGUUUCUCUAUAUCUUGCAUUCAAAUUCCUCAAACUCUGUACUUACACUUCAUAUUAUUAUCCUCGUUGAAAACUUAACAUAUUUGUCAUCAAUCACCAAAAAGGUGGAGGUUGUAAGUGCAUCUAGUGCCCCUUAGUGAUUUUGGUGUAUUGAAGACUUAUAGGUUAAGAGACUGAUAUGUUUGUGAGUGUACACAUGCUCUAUAAGUCACUGAGGAGUUUGAGUUAUUUGAAUAAAACCGACCCCUAAAACUGUAUGUCUUCGGCUAAAGACUUUGAUAUUUCCUCUAAAGACUUUGAAAGUGAGGAAAUUAGUGUGUCCAUGAAGAAAUUGAUGCGAGGACUUUGAAGCGUGAAGACUUUUGCUUUCAUAGUUUUAUUUUUUGUAUUUCGUGUCAUAGGACCACCGUACUGUUAAAGGGGGUCGAGGGAAAACUAAGGAAACGUUUUCAAGUGAUGCUCAUUUCAAAGCCUACACAUACAAACCCUUCGGAUGAAGCCUUUGGAAAUCUUCAACAACUUAGUCAAAUUCUUCAGUGGCGGAGACGAAGAUCUUCUGGUCUCUGAGAAAUUUGCUCUAACUGAGGAGUUAGGUCUUCGCCAAUGCGAAUCACCUACCUGUGAGGAACAUGAGUGACAUGAGGACUUUCAUAGCUGAAAUGUUUCGACCGAGGUUGUGUUGCACGCCAGUUGUCCCCAACCUUAUCCACCUAACAAUCAUAUUAUUGGGGCAUUUACGUUAAUUCAUGUCGGGAUUGCUCCCCGGCUAUAAAUAGCUGCCCCCAUAACCACUAGUUGGUUGGCUGCUCCGCGAGAGAAACUGACACUUGCCAUUUGAGAGCAACCCAUUCCUCGAAGACUUUGAGAGAAAUUCUUCAGUGAGGAAAAAUCCCAAACACCCUAACCAAAACCCAAAGUGAUUGAGCAUCACUGAAAAGAUUGUUCCUGUGUGGAACCGACGAUUGUUACCUUUGAGGACUGUGCAUCCUCCAUACGGUUAGGCCUCAUGGUCUAGAGCAUCCAGCAGUGAAUUGUGGAUCGCCGAGUGACCAAGUUUGUCAGGGUUUGGAAGUCUGCCAUGAAGACUUACCAUGAGUGUUGGGCGAGGACUGUGUGUCCUUAGCUCAAGGACAAUACGGUAAGGACUUAGUGUCCUGGGACUGUGUGUCUUUUGGUUUAAAUACUAAGCCGCUGCAAACCAGACGUACGACUGUCACAGCAGUUGGAACUAGGUCAUCAAACCAUUGUCUUCAUCAAGCACCUAGUUCUAAUUCCUCAACCCUUUCAUUACCUCAAUUUUAUGUUCACGACUUUGAUCUUUACUGUUUGAAGAAUUUGACUGAAGAGUUUCUCAAAUUCCUCACCUCAAAUUCUUCACUUAACUUAUUCUUCACCCGCAUGUCUUGAUCACACUACUUGUGUAAUUCGAACGUUUCACUUCACUGUGAUGACUAUGCUUUCGUUGUUUUGCACAUCUGUUUGAAUACUAAGUCCACUCACUCACCUCGUAACUGGGGACUUUUCUCACAAUGAAUUUACUGAGUGAUGAAUUUAUAAAAAUAACCUAUUCACCCCUCCUCUAGGCGAUAACGCACUUUCAGAGACUCCACCCAUAGGCAUUAUCGGACAUCCGCAACCAGCAUCAACAUGCCUGCUUGCCUAGCUAUCCACCUUGGAGCCGUUUGUACCUAGGUACACUUCGCCCCCCUGUCGACGUCCUCCAUGGCGGACACCACGCGCGACAGAUGUCCAAUCAAAUGCCAUUGAGCUUAUUUUUAAACUCUAUAUCAUUUGUAGAGCAUGAAGGAUGAUGAGCUAAUCGACCAUGGAGGAUGAAUUGUUGCGCGGUACGUGGUUGGUCGUAUCCGUGAAUUUCAUAGGCAUGAGAAAAAGGGAGACCUUCUGACAGCAAGUGUACAAAACUUUAAUGAAUGAAAGCACAUUGCGCCCUCCGACAUGUAUAUCACUCAACUAGAUAACGUGAUGUCGUUGUCGUAUCGCUGGUACGCUAUCCACACCAGCGUCACCAAGUAUUGCAACGUGGUUCGUCACCUAUAGGUAAGGUGACCAUUGCAUGCGACAGAGAACAAGAUCGUAAGUUUUGCUUCUUCUUGCUCAACUUAUUGAUUGNNNNNNNNNNNNNNUACUCUAUACAUUAUAUUUAGCUCGCACGUACUGCCGUGGUGUACCACAUGACAUGAAAACAAUCAUUUACGUGCACGCAUUGUUGGAUGAAUCUCAAAGGUGAGUAUAUGUGGAAUGACAUGACCCGUUGAUGAAAAACCUGUUGGACAUCUGGGAUCUAGUGGAAUUUGAGACAUUGUUGUACUACAUGUAUGAAUGAUUUUUAUUAUUUUCCAUUCGGAUUUUAAUGAAUAUCGACCGUUUUGCAUGAAUUUCAUUUGACUUAUUUAAAUACGGAUUAAAAUGUAUGCAACUAUGGCUGGAUAACAUCCUUCCGCAUUCGUCUUCGCGGACUGAUUUAUGUGUCCGUGAAGAGAUGCAGAUUUUGUUUUACGGGUAGCCAUUGAAGAUGCCGUACCACUCACAUGCUUUUCCCUGUCCAUGACUGGAUACCGAUAAGAGUGACGCGGUCUCUUUUGCCCGUCAUUGGCACAGGUGUGGAUAUAGCCAUUUUUUAGCAGCGAAGCUAGUAAAGCAGAAUCAGAUUUACGCGUGUAACAACUCCAUGGUGGAACUAUAUCGACAGUUUGACUCAAUAGCCACGCCGAUGCAAGAGAUAGUGCAAAUGGGACAUUAUAUUUCUUGAUAUAAAGUUACAAGUUCCAAAGACAUGAGUUUAUGUCCUUUGCUUAUUUCUGUGUGUACUCCACUUGGCAACCAUGCAAUGCACGGCCAGUACAACACUCACCAUAUGCAUGCAAGAAGCGUUUUAUUUCUUGCACACAACACCUUUGCCGUCCAUGCCACUGGCGCAGGUGACACCAGCGAGCUCAGAUAGCACCGCGACAUCGUCGUUUCCACGGCUGACCCCAUAGCGCGCCACGCUGCAGUCUGGGGCGAACAGGCUGGAGGUGGUGAAGGUGGCAUCUCCACCCAUGGUGGGCAUGGAGGCCCUCACGUCGAAAUGGUUGACGUAGUCGGAGCGGUACGUCUGUCCGACCACACCGUGGACGUCGUCGGUGAGCGCGUCGAACUUGAACGCCAGCUCGAGGUGUGCUAGGCAGUCAUCGUCGGUAACGCCGUAGCGGUGCACCCUCGAUUCCUCCUCGGUGAUGGGCACGACGUUGGCCCUGAUGCUGAACUUUCCGUCAACGGCGACCAGCACGCCGUUGGCCGCCUUGG
rnacentral:lncRNA from 1 species